AAGGCAUACAAUCCCGACGUCCAGGCACUUCCGCAUCGGCAUCUUCGAGUCCUCUCGGUAAAAUAAAUCUUGAUUUCAAAACAUGCAAGGCAAACAAGACCGCCUAGACGGAUAAUAUAGGGCUGGAUCCUGCAUCCAGCAGCAGUUCUACAUUGACAUCAACCACCGCAGUUGUGCUAGUACCAUAUGGCAGAAAUUAAAGGCGGAAAUUCAAAGCAGACUAGCGGAUAUGGGGUCCUAACCUAUCAUUGCAUGACUAGGUUUCUAAGGCCAUCCCUAUUCAUGCUCAUCUAGCAGAUAUAACCCUAAGCAUGUUUCUAAGCAGUCACAGCAGAUAGCAGUUACCAAGCGGGUUUUUUAGAGAUCGUACCAUGGCAUUUCUGAUGAAGCUUCUGCACUCGGAGCCACUCACUCCCACCCCCUGAAUUAAUCACAUACCAUUUCAAAAUUCCUAAUACAUUUUCUAAAGUUCAGGGUCCGACUGCACAAGGGUCCACAUUGCUUAAUCCAGUUGGGUCCAAGAGUUCAUUUCCAUUAUAUGUCAGAUUUCUACUUUAGCUCAGAGUUCAAUAAAAAUUUCACCAGCGGAUUCAUACA